rnacentral:rRNA from 1 species
CCUACGGGAGGCAGCAGUGGGGGAUAUUGCACAAUGGGGGAAACCCUGAUGCAGCGACGCCGCGUGUGGGAAGACGGUCCUCUGGAUUGUAAACCACUGUCCCCAGGGACGAAGAUGACGGUACCUGGGGAGGAAGCUCCGGCUAACUACGUGCCAGCAGCCGCGGGAAUACGUAGGGAGCGAGCGUUGUCCGGAAUUACUGGGUGUAAAGGGAGCGUAGGCGGGACUGCAAGUUGGGUGUCAAAUCUACCGGCUCAACCGGUAGCCGCACUCAAAACUGCAGUUCUUGAGUGAAGUAGAGGCAGGCGGAAUUCCUAGUGUAGCGGUGAAAUGCGUAGAUAUUAGGAGGAACACCAGGGGCGAAGGCGGCCUGCUGGGCUUUUACUGACGCUGAGGCUCGAAAGUGUGGGGAGCAAACAGGAUUAGAUACCCCAGUAGUC